rnacentral:lncRNA from 1 species
GAGCAAGGGCGUGACGCGAAGAUAAAUUAAAAUAUUUUAUCGCGAAAUAAUUUUUGAAAUAGUGGAGUCUGCGUUAUCUCCGCUACGCGGAGAGAGGAAAUUCUUUGGGGAGCAUGUCCGCGAUGCGGACCUGGCACCUAUUUCUACCCGAUCUUUUCUUCCUCUCCCAAACUCAAUUCAACUCAUACCCACUGAAAUUUUAAGGUAAAAACUCUCGAAUUCUUAUAACCCAAAAAAAUUUCAGUGAAACCCACCCAAGAACUAUCAAUUUACUCAACUCCUUAACAAAAUCUUCUCCUCAAGAGAUCAACCAAACAUCAAAAUUCA